rnacentral:rRNA from 1 species
UACGUAGGGGGCAAGCGUUGUCCGGAUUUAUUGGGUUUAAAGGGUGCGUAGGCGGCCCUGUAAGUCGGUGCUGAAAUAUCCCAGCUUAACUGGGAGGGUGGCAUUGAUACUGCGGGGCUAGAGUACAGAUGAGGUAGGCGGAAUUGACGGUGUAGCGGUGAAAUGCUUAGAUAUCGUCAAGAACACCUAUAGCGAAGGCAGCUUACUAGGCUGUAACUGACGCUGAGGCACGAAAGUGUGGGGAUCAAACAGG